UACAGAGGGUGCGAGCGUUAAUCGGAAUUAUUGGGCGUAAAGCGUGCGUAGGUGGAUAUUUAAGUCGAAUGUGAAAUCCCCGGGCUCAACCUGGGAACUGCAUCCGAUACUGGGUAUCUGGAGUAUAGUAGGGGAAAGCGGAAUUCCCGGUGUAGCGGUGAAAUGCGUAGAUAUCGGGAGGAACAUCAAUGGCGAAGGCGGCUUUCUGGACUAAUACUGACACUGAGGCACGAAAGCGUGGGGAGCAAACAGG
rnacentral:rRNA from 1 species